rnacentral:rRNA from 1 species
GACGAACGCUGGCGGCGUGCUUAACACAUGCAAGUCGAACGGAAAGGCCCUUCGGGGUACUCGAGUGGCGAACGGGUGAGUAACACGUGGGUGAUCUGCCCUGCACUUUGGGAUAAGCCUGGGAAACUGGGUCUAAUACCGAAUAGGACCACGCGCUUCAUGGUGUGUGGUGGAAAGCUUUUGCGGUGUGGGAUGGGCCCGCGGCCGAUCAGCUUGUUGGUGGGGUAAUGGCCUACCAAGGCGACGACGGGUAGCCGGCCUGAGCGGGUGACCGGCCAAACUGGGAUUGAGAUACGGCCCAGCCUCCUACGGGAGGCAGGGGUGGGGAAUAUUGCACAAUGGGCGCAAGCCUGAUGCAGCGACGCAGCGUGAGGGAUGACGGCAUUCGGGUUGUAAACCUCUUUCAAUAGGGACGAAGCGCAAGUGACGGUACCUAUAGAAGAAGCACCGGCCAACUACGUG